UACGAAGGGGGCUAGCGUUGCUCGGAAUCACUGGGCGUAAAGGGUGCGUAGGCGGGUCUUUAAGUCAGGGGGGAAAUCCUGGAGCUCAACUCCAGAACUGCCUUUGAUACUGAAGAUCUUGAGUUCGGGAGAGGUGAGUGGAACUGCGAGUGUAGAGGUGAAAUUCGUAGAUAUUCGCAAGAACACCAGUGGCGAAGGCGGCUCACUGGCCCGGUACUGACGCUGAGAUGCGAAAGCGUGGGGAGCAAACAGG
rnacentral:rRNA from 1 species